UCUUUGCACAGCAAUCUGCACUAAGGAAAUCACUCAGCUGAAAACAAAAAUAGUACAUAUUUUUAACUAGAUCAUAUCUCUGUAUGAGCUCUAGUCACUGGAUAAGGUGGGUAAGAAGGAAGACAGAAAAUAAAAAGCAGCUUAAACAUGAAAAACAGAAUAAAAAUAAAAUAAAAUAGAGUCUCCCUGAGGCUAAAAGACUCUCUAUAACGGGACUUACACAUCUUCCAUUGAAGUGACCUCCAAAAAGACCCAAAAGGAGCCCACUCUUUAAAGGGGUCAUCUUAGUGUUUGCUUCCUACAGCAGGCAGAAUCCUGUUUUAUUUCCUGCGUUCUCCCAGUCCACACUGCUGCUGCAGACUUUGCAAGCUCCAUCCUGUCCUUCAGGGAAGAGAAGCUUAUUUGCUUUCAGAAGAAGCGCAAUCUCCCUCCCUCCAGAUGGCUCUGACUGAAAGUGCAUCAUGCAGGAUAAAGCAGAAAGACAGCUUCCUUCUUACCAAGUAGGAGUUGCAGUGUGCAGUAUUCGCACGGCAUUCUCUGAAUAAACAAGACAGCUAUACUGCU